rnacentral:rRNA from 1 species
AGCAGUCGCCACGGGAAUACGUAGGUGGCAAGCGUUGUCCGGAAUUAUUGGGCGUAAAGCGCGCGCAGGCGGAUCAGUUAGUCUGUCUUAAAAGUUCGGGGCUUAACCCCGUGAUGGGAUGGAAACUGCCAAUCUAGAGUAUCGGAGAGGAAAGUGGAAUUCCUAGUGUAGCGGUGAAAUGCGUAGAUAUUAGGAAGAACACCAGUGGCGGAGGCGACUUUCUGGACGAAAACUGACGCUGAGGCGCGAAAGCCAGGGGAGCGAACGGGAUUAGAUACCCCCGUAGUCCCUGUCUCUUAUACA